rnacentral:rRNA from 1 species
CUGCUAUCGAGGUUCGACUAAGCCAUGCGAGUCGAAUGUAGCAAUACAUGGCGAACUGCUCAGUAACACGUGGACAACCUGCCCUUAGGUUGGGUAUAAACCCGGGAAACUGGGUAUAAUACCCGAUAGGUCUCGAUUGCUGGAAUGCAUCGAGAUUUAAAGCUCCGGCGCCUAAGGAUGGGUCUGCGGCCUAUCAGGUAGUAGUGGGUGUAGCGUACCUACUAGCCUACGACGGGUACGGGUUGUGAGAGCAAGAGCCCGGAGAUGGAUUCUGAGACACGAAUCCAGGCCCUACGGGGUGCAGCAGGCGCGAAAACUUUACAAUGCUGGCAACAGCGAUAAGGGAACCUCGAGUGCCAGGUUACAAAUCUGGCUGUCGAGAUGCCUAAAAAGCAUUUCAUAGCAAGGG